AGAGAGAGAGAGAGAGAGCACCAAACACCAGGGACACCUUCAAUCACACUCAGUUCUCACUCCCACACAGACUUUUAUGAUUUCAAAUCAAAAUCUUGAAAUAAAUUUGAGUGUAAAACAAAAGUCACAUCACACCAAAAACACAUGAGUGUCAGCUGCAGCAUGGUGCAAUUUUGUUACUGCAUUUAUUAAUGUCCUGUUAGUUCUGAUGACCAAUGUAGUACUGUGUAUACUGUACUGCACGUACUAAGAACUACACGUAUGGGAGUCCUGUGUUCAUCUGUGACACUGCUCUCAGCAGUCGUCCUUCCCUUCUUUCUCUCCUUUCUCUUUUUCUUCGUCUCCCACGCCGUGUUCCACUUCCUCACUCUGCUCCCACCACAGGAGGUGAGUGCUUUCAUUUUCACAUUUGUGGGAGUGCUGGCCGUGAGGCUGUGAUUUCUGACUGUGUGGAGGAGAGAAGGCGUCACAGAGAGAGAGGAGAGAAAGAGAGGGAACAAUAAACCUAAUCCUGUUUUUGGACUGUGACUCCAUGAAGUCACCUCCAGGGAUCAGACCACUGACAUUACUGCUGUAAGGCUGCAGUUCCCAAAGUGUGGGGUGGUCCCUCCUUGAGGACGCAGAGCUAUUUCAAGGGCCAUGACAAAGGCAUACAAAACAUUGAUCAAAGCUGGGCCUUGAAAAAAGAGCUAGAAGUCACAAUCUCAUAACUGCAGAACUGAAUUUUAAAAAUGGACACAGAGAGGGGGGGCAGUGGGGUGAGGUGGUGGGGCGUUAGGGGGAAUUGUCUACCUUGAAUAUCAUUCACAUAUAUACUGUGUUCUUCAAGUUCUACAACUUUGACUAUUGAUGUCACGUAUUUGCUUCCACUACAGGGCGCCCUAGUUGGGUCACGUGUACCAUCGUUUGAGAACCAAUACCUUCGUACCAGAUCUGACGGUGAUGCUGUUUGAUCUCAGAGUGCUACCACGGCAUUAGAGCUGCUUCUACCACUCUUAGGUCCAAGGUCCAAUCGUGGACAGUGAUGGAGGCCAGGCUGAGUUGACUUUAAAGACAAAUGAAGACCGGAAUAAUGGAAUCAGGAAUCUAACAUCACAAAGACCUUCAACGCAGCACAACCAGACCAACUACUACUCCAUUUUUUAAUCUACAGAUUGUAAGGUAAAUUAAUGCAUUUUUAUUUAUUGUUGGGGACAUUUUGUUCUUUAAGACUUUUUCAGAAAAUGAUGUGUUUUUGAUCAAAAGUUGAAGUUAAUAUUCAGAAAGAAAAUUCUGGAAUUUCAAGCAUAAAAACGCGCAUAUCUACACAUUUUAUGGCAAAUUAGUGCAUUUUUAUUACUUUUUUGGAUGCAUGUUAUUUUUUAACCCUUUUCAAUUUGUUUUUAAAUAUUUUUUAGUUAAAUUCAAUUUUUUGAAGACUUCAGAGAAUAGUGUUUGUUUUGAUCAAAGGUUUACUUACCCAAAAAACCUGUAUUUCUCUGAAUUUCAAGCAUAGAAAUAUCCAACAUAUUUUAAGGCAUUUUAGUCUAAGGGUUCUGUCUGUGUACAGUUUUUAUAUACAGUAUAUAUAUCUCUUCUUUGUUUUCGAUUAGGUUUUCCUGAGUGUUAAUUUGGGAACAGAUCAUAACAGUGAGUGCAUUUUUAUUAAUUUAUGGGAAUGUUUUAUUUUUUAAGACUUUUUCAGGUAAUUAUUAGUAUGGGAUGUUGAUACGACGAAGAAAGGAGGACCCAGAAGCAGACCACAGAGUAAACAAAGGUAUGAAAGGUUUAUUCUCCACCAGUAUGUAUAUAAAAAGUCUCUGGGAUGUGUGUGUGUGUGUGUG